CUACGGGGCGCAGCAGUGGGGAAUAUUGGACAAUGGGGGAAACCCUGAUUCAGCAAUGCCGCGUGUGUGAAGAAGGCCUGCGGGUUGUAAAGCACUUUCGGUUGGGAGGACUGCUUCUAGCACUAAUAUUGUUGGAAGUUGACGUUACCUUCAGAAGAAGCACCGGCUAACUCCGUGCCAGCAGCCGCGGUAAUACGGAGGGUGCAGGCGUUAAUCGGAAUUACUGGGCGUAAAGCGCGCGUAGGCGGCUAGAUCAGUCGGGUGUGAAAGCCCCGGGCUUAACCUGGGAACUGCAUCCGAUACUGUCUAGCUUGAGUACAGGAGAGGAGAGUGGAAUUCCACAUGUAGCGGUGAAAUGCGUAGAUAUGUGGAGGAACACCAAUGGCGAAGGCAGCUCUCUGGCCUGAUACUGACGCUGAGGUGCGAAAGCGUGGGGAGCAAACAGGAUUAGAUACCCUUGUAGUC
rnacentral:rRNA from 1 species